CACUGUUGGAGUAUAGGAAACUAUUAUAAAUGUGUUCUUAUAUCCGGCUACUUUGAUGAUUUCAUUUAUCAUUUCUAGAAAGUCUUCUGGUGAACAUUUUUGGGGUCUUCUAGAUAUAGGAUCAUGUCAUCAGCAAACAGAAAUAGUUUGACUUCUUCUUUUCUUAUUUGUAUCCCUUUAAUUUCCUGCCUUUGUCUACUUGCUCUGGGUAGAGUUUCAAAACCUAAAUUGAAUAGAAGUGGUGAAAGUGGACAUCCUUGUAAUAUUCCUAAUUUUAGAGAAAAAGCUUUCAAUUUUUCUCCAUUCAGUGUGAUAUUGGCUUUGGGUUUGUUAUCAAGUCUUUAUAAUAUUGAGGUAUGUUCCUUCUAUACCUAGUUUCUCCAGGUUAACAUGAAAGGGUUCUGUUUCUUAUCAAAGGCCUUUUUUGCAUCUAUUGAGAUGAUCACAUGAUUCUUGUCCUUAAUUCUAUCUGUGUGGAGUAUUACAUUUAUUUUAUUUUAUUUUGGGCAUGCCAGGGAUUGAACGAACAUAGGAGCACUCAACCACUGAUCCACAUCCCCAGCCCUUAUUUUGUAUUAUAUUUAGAGACAGUUUCUCACUGAGUUGCUUAGUGCCUCCCCAAGGCUGAGGUUGGCAUUGAACUUGGGAUCCUCCUGCCUCACCUCCCGUGUCACUGAGAUUACAAGCAUGCAUCACCACACCUGGCUAAGAAUUGCAUUUAUUGAUUUGCAUAUGUUGAACAGACCUUACAUUCCUGGGAUGAAUUCCACUUGAUCAUGGUGUAUUAUCCUCUUAAAAUGUUUUCUUAUGUGGUUUGCUAAC
rnacentral:lncRNA from 1 species